UACGGAGGGGGCUAGCGUUGUUCGGAAUUACUGGGCGUAAAGCGCACGUAGGCGGCUUUGUAAGUUAGAGGUGAAAGCCCAGGGCUCAACCCUGGAAUUGCCUUUAAGACUGCAUCGCUUGAAUUGUGGAGAGGUAAGUGGAAUUCCGAGUGUAGAGGUGAAAUUCGUAGAUAUCCGGAGGAACACCAGUGGCGAAGGCGACUUUCUGGCCUGUUCUUGACGCUGAGGCGCGAAAGCUAGGGGAGCAAACGGG
rnacentral:rRNA from 1 species